rnacentral:rRNA from 1 species
UACGUAGGGGGCAAGCGUUAUCCGGAUUUACUGGGUGUAAAGGGAGCGUAGACGGACUGGCAAGUCUGAUGUGAAAGGCGGGGGCUCAACCCCUGGACUGCAUUGGAAACUGUUAGUCUUGAGUGCCGGAGAGGUAAGCGGAAUUCCUAGUGUAGCGGUGAAAUGCGUAGAUAUUAGGAGGAACACCAGUGGCGAAGGCGGCUUACUGGACGGUAACUGACGUUGAGGCUCGAAAGCGUGGGGAGCAAACAGGAUUAGAUACCCCGGUAGUCCUGACGACU